rnacentral:rRNA from 1 species
UGGGGAAUUUUGGACAAUGGGCGAAAGCCUGAUCCAGCAAUGCCGCGUGUGUGAAGAAGGCCUUCGGGUUGUAAAGCACUUUUGUCCGGAAAGAAAUCCUUGGCUCUAAUACAGUCGGGGGAUGACGGUACCGGAAGAAUAAGCACCGGCUAACUACGUGCCAGCAGCCGCGGUAAUACGUAGGGUGCAAGCGUUAAUCGGAAUUACUGGGCGUAAAGCGUGCGCAGGCGGUUUGCUAAGACCGAUGUGAAAUCCCCGGGCUCAACCUGGGAACUGCAUUGGUGACUGGCGGGCUAGAGUAUGGCAGAGGGGGGUAGAAUUCCACGUGUAGCAGUGAAAUGCGUAGAGAUGUGGAGGAAUACCGAUGGCGAAGGCAGCCCCCUGGGCCAAUACUGACGCUCAUGCACGAAAGCGUGGGGAGCAAACAGGAUUAGAUACCCUGGUAGUCCACGCCCUAAACGAUGUCAACUAGUUGUUGGGGAUUCAUUUCCUUAGUAACGUAGCUAACGCGUGAAGUUGACCGCCUGGGGAGUAACGGUCGCAAGAUUAAAACUUAAAUGAAUUGA